ensembl:snoRNA SNORD28 Small nucleolar RNA SNORD28
AUCAGAUAAUUUGGUUGAUAUGCCAAUCUUCUGUGCAGUACCACAGUUAAUAGCAUGUUAGAGUUCUAAUGGCA